rnacentral:rRNA from 1 species
CCUACGGGUGGCUGCAGUGGGGAAUAUUGGACAAUGGGCGAAAGCCUGAUCCAGCCAUGCCGCGUGUGUGAAGAAGGCCUUCGGGUUGUAAAGCACUUUCAGUGGGGAAGAAAGCCUUGGGGCUAAUACCCUCGAGGAAGGACAUCACCCACAGAAGAAGCACCGGCUAACUCCGUGCCAGCAGCCGCGGUAAUACGGAGGGUGCGAGCGUUAAUCGGAAUUACUGGGCGUAAAGCGCGCGUAGGCGGUCUGAUAAGCCGGUUGUGAAAGCCCCGGGCUCAACCUGGGAACGGCAUCCGGAACUGUCAGGCUAGAGUGCAGGAGAGGAAGGUAGAAUUCCCGGUGUAGCGGUGAAAUGCGUAGAGAUCGGGAGGAAUACCAGUGGCGAAGGCGGCCUUCUGGACUGGCACUGACGCUGAGGUGCGAAAGCGUGGGUAGCAAACAGGAUUAGAUACCCUUGUAGUC